CCUACGGGUGGCAGCAGUGAGGAAUAUUGGUCAAUGGGCGAGAGCCUGAACCAGCCAAGUCGCGUGAAGGAUGACGGCCCUACGGGUUGUAAACUUCUUUUGUCAGGGAGCAAUUGGGUCCACGCGUGGGCUUAGCGAGAGUACCUGAAGAAAAAGCAUCGUCAAAUACCGGGCCAGCAGCCGAGGUAAUACGGAGGAUGCGGGCGUUAUCCGGAUGUAUUGGGUUUAAAGGGUGCGUAGGCGGAAUAUCAAGUCAGAGGUAAAAAUUCGGGGCUCAACCCCGUAGUGCCGUUGAAACUGGUGUUCUUGAGUGCGCGAGAAGUAUGCGGAAUGCGUGGUGUAGCGGUGAAAUGCAUAGAUAUCACGCAGAACUCCGAUUGCGAAGGCAGCAUACCGGCGCGCAACUGACGCUGAAGCACGAAAGCGUGGGUAUCGAACAGGAUUAGAUACCCGUGUAGUC
rnacentral:rRNA from 1 species